rnacentral:lncRNA from 1 species
ACAGGCAGACCCCGCCCUGCCCCCAAACUGGAGGAGGCGUUCUCGGCGCUGCUGUGUAAACAGCAAGAGAUUCUGCUGCGUCAUGGAAACCGGCGCCGGCAGGAUUCCGAGGCGGGGGCAGUGUUUAUCCUUGUCACACGGCAGAAGGUCAACAGACACCCGCUCCCUGGGGGCCCCGCGGCCGGCGGGCGUGAGGGCGGGGCUCGCGGUCCCGGCCGUGAUGGGGGCCUCGGGCUCCUUGCUGCGCGCUUGCAGGCCCGCCCUCGCUCAGCUCCCUAAUUCUGGCGGGCGUUGCGACCACCGCUUUGCGCUGCCGUUUUUGCUGAGGGGACAGAGGGGAGACGAUGUCCCCGGUGCACGCAUAGAGAGAGAGGCGAGACCCACCUCUGAUACCCCAGGUGAAGGGCCCGUAAGAACAGAGGGUGAUCCGUGGCUUGGAAGCCGACAGAGGGCACAACCUGGACGAGUUCUGGUCGGAAACACUUGGGAAAUGUCUCAUUUGUGUGUCUGGUUUCUCUGCCGUCAGAGUCUCGGUCAUCCUUACAAAGUCCUCGAGCCCCCGAGAUGGCGCCUCUUAUUCCUGAGUCUCCUGCACGCCCAGGCUACCACCUGGUGGAUAUUGAUGGCUAGCUUCACUUCAGGGAUGGAGAGACUGAGUCAGGGAGGGAGAGAGCGCCAGCCCUGUCUGAGCUCCCUAGGGAUAAGUAGGCAGAAAAAAGCUGAAGCUCAGCCUUGCAGUAACCGGCUAAGGUGUAUGCUUUUGUCUAGAAUAAUAAAAACCAGAAUUUUAAAGGCUAUUGCCUUACUUACCCCAGAGGGCUGAGGAAGUCUUUCUUCUUGCUUUUUAUGACUCCGGUUUUGCCUCGAGAAGUAAGUGGCACUAUAAAUCCCAAAUAGCUUCCUACCUGCUGUUCUUCCCCAGUGAGACUUGAAGUGAUUACUAGACACGGUUUCAGGCUCUGCCAAAUGAUAGGAAACUUAGAGUUUGCUUUCUGCUCAGAUUUACCAGGGGGAGAGGGUAAUUUAAACGGCAUUUCAUUAUCUCAAAAGAGGUGGCAGUAAACAUUCUGUUACCGAGAACAGACCCUUAACUAAUUUCUAUUAUUGGAAAUCUUUCUAUUGGAAUUAGAGUAAAACUUUGGAGCUCAAACGCUCUGCCUUUCCUGGUUAGACAGUCUUCUACCGAAGUGUCCCUCUGGAAGACCAGUUGCAGUGGGAAAUUGUCAUCCCUGUGAACAAUGAGCGGCGGUAGAGAAGAAAAAAUCAAGCACCUUAUCUGCCCCAGUUCUUCUGCGGCCCCACUCGGGCUUGGACCAAGGAGGGCCGUUGCCUCCUUUCCAAACGGGGAGAAACUGGUUGACAGUCUGAGAGCUGUCUUUUCAAGAGGACAACACCUGCUCCGGGGCCCACGUUGCUGAGAAGUACACGUUAAGCCAGAAUCUUACUACAGCUGUCAGAGUCACAGUGAUUGACAGCAGGGAAAUCUCAUUAUGCAUUUCCGCAGGACCAUGGCAAAGCUUUGAUUAGCAUUUAGACAUUCCCAUUUGCAGGAGCAGCAUUUUUCUUUGCUCGUAAAGAAUAUUUGUUAAUGCUCGGGCCCGGCAUCAAAUCUCUAUAAUGUGCUCAGGAUGAGGCCGGUACCACCCAAAACUAAAGAUGCGCUUUGGUUUGUUUCUCCUCACUUUCUUCUUGGCCACAUCAGCUCCACUCUUCCUUCUCAUCGACAAAGAAGAAACAGAACAGAAGUUGUUCAGCCUGCAAUUUGUUUCCAGGAUAUGACACGUAUUUGCCCUGGACCUCUGAAGAACAUUUUCAAAUUCUUACAUGUGGUAGGAAUGAAUGGUAAAACGGGUAGUUUUAAGGUAUAUAAAUCUAAAAAGUGUGAAAGCGUUAGUCGCUCAGUCAUGCAGCAUCAUGAACCAUAGCCCACCAGGCUUCUGGGUCCAUGGACUUCUCCAGGAAACAAUACUGGGGUGGGUUGCCAUUCCCUUCUUCAGGAGAGCUUUCCAACCCAGGGAUCGAACCCAGUUCUCCUGCACUGCAGGCAGAUUCCUUACCAUCUGAGCCACGAGGGAAGCACAGAUAAAUCUAAGUGCUCCCUUUAUUUGCAACCAAGCCAAAGUCACACGUACACAUUUGGUUAAAUAAGACUCAAUGAUGAUACGAAAAUUUGCAUGUGGUCAGGAGGGAUAUUUCCAGAGAAUCUUAAUGGUUAAAGUCAUAGGUGACUAAUGGUAAAAAGUGAGAUUUUUUACUUUUUUCCAAAACGACUCCUUGCAGUAUAGCAUAUGGUGUCUUUGUAUCAGAAAGACUAUGGAUCCCACUCAUUGGAAUAGGUUUUGAGAAUAGUGGUUGGGCUGGUUUUUGAACUAUCGCGUCUCUGCUCUGUGCCCACUAUCCUGUAUACUGCUUUGUGAUUCUGGGGUUGGGUUGCUAUAAUCCCCAUUUUCCCUUUUUUUUUUCCUACUCUUCUAAAAUAGCCUUGAACUGCCACAGAGAGUUUCAUUUUACUAAUACCUAUUCCAAAUUAAAAAAGGAUUUUUAAAGCCAUUAUUUGGAGCAUUUCAUUCCCAUCAAAAUUCUUCCAAAUGGGGUGCUUUAUGGAAUGAAAGGUUUAUGAAGCCUCUAGGGUCAGAGAUUGUACCCUGGUUAGACUCCUGCCAGCAGUCAGGAGUCUGCAGCAGACACAGAUGUAGUGGGUCGAUCUGAGACAGACCUGCUCAUUCUACUAACUUCACGACAGACAGAAAGUACGAAAAUUCCACAAGGCUGCAUAGAACUGUCUAUUCCCUGCAGUACCACCUGCUAUGGUCUGAAUAUUUGUGUCCUUCAAAAUUCGUAUGUUGACACUUAACCCCCAAAGAUGAGGGAGUUAUGGAGCAGGCCUUCGGGAAUCCUGAAGAGAGGGUAGAUCUCUCCUGAAUGGAAUGAGUGCCCUUUCAUAAAAGUAGUUCCAGACAGAUCUGCAGCCCCUGGACGCAGAGAGAAGUUGCCAACUAUGAACCAGGAAGAAGGUUGCUCACCAGUAAACUGUCGCACCGUGAUCUCGGACUUAGCACUUCCCGAGCUGAGAAAUAAGCUUCUGUUGUCUAUAUCUAUCCCAUCUGCGGUAUUUUGUUAUAGGAGCUUCAGUGGCCACUGCUUCAGCUAACCAUGCAGAGUAACACCGGGAGCUGUGGAAGCCUGCAGGGUCCAAGAGGGACCUCUCUGCAGGUUCCACACAAAGAGCAUGACUGCUCAAGUUCCAAUAAAAAGUGACCCAAGCCACAGCCCUGUGCCCCUUUCCUCGAGUGAGUGAGUGGUGGUCUCUCAGGCGUGUCCAGCUCUUUGCGUCCCCAUGGACUGUGGCCCGCCAGACCCCUCUGUCCAUAGAAUUCUCCGAGCAAGAAUACUGGAGUGGGUUGCCAUUUCAGAGGCCAGUAGAAGAGGCUCUGGGGAGUCAAAUGGCUGAGAAGAUGUGAACCUCAGUGAGAUCAAAUUCUCAAACUGAAGCUGUUCAUUUCCAAGUUAG